rnacentral:rRNA from 1 species
CCAAUAGCGUAUAUUAAAGUUGUUGCAGUUAAAAAGCUCGUAGUUGAAUUUCGGGGUUCAUACGUUGGUCGGGCUAUUUGGUCUGUACUUAUGUAAUGGAUUCCUACCUUCUGAAUAACCGGCAUGUCAUUAAUUUGGUGCGCCGGGGAAGCAGGACUGUUACCUUGAAAAAAUUAGAGUGCUUAAAGCAGGCUAUCGCCUGAAUACAUUAGCAUGGAAUAAUGAAAUAGGACGGCAUGGUUCUAUUUUGUUGGUUUCUAGGAUCACCGUAAUGAUUAAUAGGGAUAGUUGGGGGCAUUAGUAUUCAAUUGUAAGAGGUGAAAUUCUUGGAUUUAUUGACGACUAACUUCUGCGAAAGCAUUUGCCAAGGAUGUUUUCAUUAAUCAAGAACGAAAGUUAGGGGAUCGAAGACGAUCAGAUACCGUCGUAGUCUUAACCAUAAACUAUGCCGACUAGGGAUCGGACGAUGUUAAUUUUUUAAUGACUCGUUCGGCGCCUUACG